GACGAAUCAUCUGGAAAGAUGAAUCAAAGAAGGUAAUAAUCCUGUAGUCGAAAAUGUUGUCUCUCUUGAGUGGAUCCUGAGUACGACGGAGCACGUGAAAUUCCGUCGGAAUCUGGGAGGACCAUCUCCUAAGGCUAAAUACUCUCUAGUGACCGAUAGUGAACCAGUACCGUGAGGGAAAGGUGAAAAGCACCCCGGAAGGGGAGUGAAAUAGAACCUGAAACCGUGUGCUUACAAGUAGUCAGAGCCCGUUAAUGGGUGAUGGCGUGCCUUUUGUAGAAUGAACCGGCGAGUUACGAUUUGAUGCAAGGUUAAGCAGUAAAUGUGGAGCCGUAGCGAAAGCGAGUCUGAAUAGGGCGUUUAGUAUUUGGUCGUAGACCCGAAACCAGGUGAUCUACCCUUGGUCAGGUUGAAGUUCAGGUAACACUGAAUGGAGGACCGAACCGACUUACGUUGAAAAGUGAGCGGAUGAACUGAGGGUAGCGGAGAAAUUCCAAUCGAACCUGGAGAUAGCUGGUUCUCUCCGAAAUAGCUUUAGGGCUAGCCUCAAGUGAUGAUUAUUGGAGGUAGAGCACUGUUUGGACGAGGGGCCCCUCUCGGGUUACCGAAUUCAGACAAACUCCGAAUGCCAAUUAAUUUAACUUGGGAGUCAGAACAUGGGUGAUAAGGUCCGUGUUCGAAAGGGAAACAGCCCAGACCACCAGCUAAGGUCCCAAAAUAUA
rnacentral:rRNA from 1 species